UCGACAAAUAAAACCGACGCGUAAUGCGAUAAAGAGCGUCACGCUUCUCACCUAAUAAGAGAUGUGUUUGGACCACACAGAGCUCUGGGACGUGUGGACAGACAUUCGCUGUAAUGAAGGACAUCUGCUCAUGGACAGAAGCAUAACCACUGCUGGACAUCGCUCUGGGACUCAGGGGGGGACC